AACCCGUGGCCAUGGACGAUGUGAAGGCUAUCAUACAACUUUGCAGGGCUUGGAAAACUGACAUCAGUGCGGAGCUGGAGCUCGAACCAUUUGAAGUUGGGGCAGAUUUUUUUUUACAAACUGUUAGAUGAAACUGCAUGGAUGAGCUCGAGGCACCUUGACAUGGCCAUGUUUCUAAUACGCAAAAGACAACUCUCUCAUCCGCAACUAUUUGGAAGGGAGUGGACAACCGCCGAG